rnacentral:sRNA from 1 species
UAGCCUGUAGUGAUCAAGCUGACCCGCAAGAGCUACGGCGAUGUGGCAUACAGGGGGACCCCUGCAAAGCACAAUAGCAUUUUCUAUUAGGCCACUAGGGCAAAAGAGCCCAAUCACCACCAGCGCCAUGGUGGUAUAGAGGGCCGCCCCUGCAAAAAAUGUAGAUCCCCGCAGCGAGUUGGCGGGCGCCCCGCAUUCCCCCCCCCAAGCAGCGAUGAGAAGUGAAAAGAGAAAUGGGGCUUUUAUAUUCUGAUAUUCUGGCGGGUGAGUAUAAGCGGUGAAUGCAACAACAACACAUGGAUAAAAUGGUAUCGAAGAUAUCGAGAUCGUGACAGGAUUGCCAAACUAGGGAAUGGAAAAAUACAUUUUCUAAGGGGCUCUUUGAGAACCAAUAAGCCCCCUCAAACUUACGAUGAGAGGGACUUCAGUGGUAUGCGUAUUUUGUUAGGGUUAUCUAUGGCUAUGUAGCAGGACAAUCUCGAGGGGUGGAAAGUUAGUAUGGUAUUUUGCUAAUACAUUCUACUGCAAGUGUCAAACCCAGAGACAUUGUCAGUGAUCUGCCACAGCUUCUCUGAGACUCAAAGGGUCCCUAAAAUACCUCUCUAUGGCUUUACUUGUGCAUGAUCUUGUUCCAUUUUAGGAAUCAUAUUGCGAAGAGGGAUUUCACUGUACAUAUAUUUUUGGACGUGGUUAUCUCAAUAUCAAUAUAUAAUAAUAGACAGGCGAAUAAGUAGAGGAAUACUCAUGGUGGUAGAAGGUUGUGGAUAAUUGUAUUGCUAUUUGAGUAAAGCGGAGGUUCUGACAAUAGACUCGUUAAAUAACAAUAGACUCGCUAAAUAUCUCGUUGAUGUUGAAGUCCCGUUCUCCGAUACAGUGGAACAGAAAUGAAGGAAUGUGUUUUGUGAUAGUGUUUAAAGAAAAAAAAAGAAAAAGAAAAAAAUGUGGGGCAGAGGUCAUCACAGCCUUCUUGAAGGGUUGGAAUCUGGUUGAAAAAAAAAGGGGGGGGGAUGAUAGGAAAAUAAAAAGGAAAGCUGGGAAGAAGGAAGAUGAA